UUGUUCAGUCUGUAAGAUAACAAGAAAACAACGCAGUCAACACGCAAGUGAUUGCGAUAGUCAUAGAGAGACAGGCUGACCUUGGUCACAAAAGAUUAGACGGCAGCGCCACCCCGCGGUGCUCGGCAACCUGGCGGCGCGCUGAGGCUGCCAGGCGGGCAGAGGGAAGGGCAGCCCCUCUUUCCCACACUGAAUUCCCGUUUUCCAGGUGUGUUAACGCCCUCCACCCCGUUCUGGCCCCGUCGGCCUCUAGACCACCCGCCUUGCCUUAUCUGCGGUGGACGUGUGCCUGUGAGCACUUAAAGGGAACAUUAACAUCAAGCACAGUUUUCCAUCUACUCCGCGUAUGGCCGCGCGGCUUCCUCCUGUGGUCCAGCUCAGCCCUCUGGAGCAGCUGCCGCAGGUGGCCUUCCGCUGGUGCCCUCCUUUCACCGAAACUGCUAAACACCUGCUUCCCUCUGAGGAUAUGUCCAGCCCUCGAGUCCCUUGCUUCAGUUGGGACAGAUGAGCUACCUGACUCACCCACAGUGGCUUUUCAAAGGAUGCCUGGUCACCUACCAUCUGUUCCAGGUUCUGCAGCCAGGGGUCGUAGCGUCUGUUUUCAGCAGGUCUAACACUGGACCAGAUCUCCUUGCUGUGUCUGGCCUUUGGUCAUCCCGGAAGGGAGCCUUGUUCUUCCAGAUGUGGAAGUCUCUGCUCUCUGGCUUCUGCUGUAAGGCCAGCAUCUCAAGCAGAAGAGCCCAAACUGUUGCAGAAACAACCCCCCCCUCCCAUCCCAGAACAAGACCAAAGUAGUCUUCAAGCCAGUCUGACAGGUUUCCCUGGCUAUGGGCACCUGCUUUCCAUGGCAUUGAUGGCUGGUCCUCCCUGGGACCUCAUCCUUCCGAGGGGAGCUGGCACACAGGACUGUCAUUAACAAGUGCCUGGGAUUCGACGCACUCAGUCAGCACUUUGCUCCGUUGGUGGGUUUCAACACCAAGGAAAACACUGUUUGUGGACUCACACUGACCUGGACCCCAACCUGAAUCUCCUGGGAGAAGUUUCUUAUUUCCUAAAGAUGAACUGGAUCUCAAGAUGAACGAGGUAACUCCCAGACACCCAAGCUCUGGCUGCAGGGGAGGCCUGGCAGCCAGAAACCGAGAGAUCACAUCUUCGAAUGAACACAGCAAGCAGGAUGAAGUGGAAGUGCGGGGCCAAGCUAUCAACUCUGAAAACCUGCACCCAGUGAUGUACUUCCUCCGCCAAUCCCGGGAGAGAUUAGCUGGAAAAGAAGAGACAACACAUGCCCACAAGGGCCCGACUAGACUCGAAGACCGUAAAGCGUGUGGAGGAAAGCUGCCACGAUAGUUCUGCUUGAGACGUGAAACCUGGCCUCCGAGGGAAUCAGUUCUCCGUCUGCUCUCCCUGACUGUCAGAUCUCCAGUAGGAAGCCUUUGCUUAGCACCCACAGAAAAUGGAAAGCGACACCAAACAGCAGCUCAGCUUCACUCCAAACCUUCCACAGCCUUCUAAAAUUAUGCGGUUAAAGAGUCCUCCAGAUGGGCUGAGGAGAUGGCUCUGUUGGUAAAAUGUCUGUUGCGUGAGCCUGAGGACUUUAAGUUCAGAUUCUUAGCACGCACAUAAAAACCUGUAACUGGCACCGAGGAAGUUGCCAAUUUUGUCAACUCAAUAACCUCCAGGUUCCAUGAGAGAGCUUGUCUUAAAAAAAAAAAUAAAGUAGAUGCCAGUCAUGGCGAUGGGUGGCGCAUGCCUUUAAUCUUAGUACACACGAGGCAGAGGCAGGUGGAGCUCUGUGAGUCUGAGGAUAGCCUGGUCUACAUAGUGAGCUCCAGGGCAGCCAGGGCUACAUAGGGAGUCCCUGUCUCCAAAAGAAAAAAACAAAAAACUGUGUAGAAUGAACCAGGAAGACA